GGGCUGCUCCUAGUACGAGAGGACCGGAGUGGACGAACCUCUGGUGUUCCGGUUGUCACGCCAGUGGCAUUGCCGGGUAGCUAUGUUCGGAAAAGAUAACCGCUGAAAGCAUCUAAGCGGGAAACUUGCCUCAAGAUGAGAUCUCACUGGGAUCUUGAAUCCCCUAAAGGGCCGUCGAAGACUACGACGUUGAUAGGUUGGGUGUGUAAGCGCUGUGAGGCGUUGAGCUAACCAAUACUAAUUGCCCGUGAGGCUUGACCAUAUAACACCCAAGCAAUU
rnacentral:rRNA from 1 species